rnacentral:rRNA from 1 species
GAAUUAUACACCCUUCUAUCCGCCUGGAUAUUACGAGCAUUAGCUUGAAACCCAAAGGACUUGGCGGUACUUUAGAUCCCCCUAGAGGAGCCUGCUCUAUAACCGAUAACCCCCGUUAAACCUCACCCUCCCUUGUUUUUUCCGCCUAUAUACCACCGUCGUCAGCUCACCCUGUGAAGGUCUAAUAGUAAGCAAAAUUGGCACAGCCCAGAACGUCAGGUCGAGGUGUAGCGCAUGGGAGGGGAAGAAGUGGGCUACAUUCGCUAACUUAGCGAAUUACGGACGAUGAAUUGAAAACAUUCAUCCUUGAAGGAGGAUUUAGCAGUAAGUGGAAAAUAGAGUGUUCCACUGAAAUCGGCUCUGAAGUGCGUACACACCGCCC